CACGUAGGGGACGAGCGUUGUCCGGAUUCAUUGGGCGUAAAGCGCGCGUAGGCGGCUCGGAAAGUCGGGCGUGAAAUGCCGGGGCUCAACCCCGGGACUGCGUCCGAUACUCCCGAGCUGGAGGUAGGUAGGGGAGAUCGGAAUUCCUGGUGUAGCGGUGAAAUGCGCAGAUAUCAGGAGGAACACCGGUGGCGAAGGCGGAUCUCUGGGCCAUUACUGACGCUGAGGAGCGAAAGCGUGGGGAGCAAAAGGG
rnacentral:rRNA from 1 species